rnacentral:lncRNA from 1 species
GAGGUUGCGACGCCGGGAGGAAGAAGAAGAAGAGGAAGAGAGAGAGAGCGAGGAAGCCGUACUGUCCGGGCACCUCCCGUGAUGGAUAGGGCAGGCGCGCCUCCCGACAGGCGAUGGAGGCUCUUCCAAUCGGGUGCUCGCUUUCCCCCCCGGGAAAAAAGUGGGACGCCUAGAAAACGGAUGCCCGAUUGGACGAGGAGGAAGCGGCAGAGACCGCUGCGAGGGCCUGCGAUUUCAAGGGCGAGGAGGGCGGAGGAGAGACCAGGACGAUGGAAGGAGAGAGAGCAAGGCAGGCAGGCAGGCAGGCUGUGGGAGUCAGAGCCCCAAAGGAGGGUGACGAGACGAGGCCAGGGGGGGAGCGAAGGGGAAGGAAGGGGGGGAGGCGCCUCAUCAACANNN